UCCUACGGGAGGCAGCAGUAGGGAAUCUUGCGCAAUGGGCGAAAGCCUGACGCAGCCAUGCCGCGUGAAUGAUGGAGGUCUUAGGAUUGUAAAAUUCUUUCACCGGGGAAGAUAAUGACGGUACCCGGAGAAGAAGCCCCGGCUAACUUCGUGCCAGCACCCGCGGUAAUA
rnacentral:rRNA from 1 species